CCGCCCCGCGUCGUCCGUCCACUCGUUGCUUCGUCUUCUUCCUCGCCCCCCUCCGCCUCCCGAUUAAAUCCGGCUAUUUAAAUCGAAUCCCCCAACGAACUCCCACUUUUCCCCAGCAGCAGCAGCGGCGUCAGCGGAGCAGCGCGAGCGAGAGAGCCAACCCUAGCGGAGCGAGCGAGCGCGCGCCAUGGGAUAGGUAGUGGUUCUCUGCGGGCCAUGGAGUGGGACAGCGACUCGGACGGCAGCGGGGAGGAGGACGAGGAGGAGGAGGAGGGGGAGGGGGUCGGGCCGUGGGGCGCGGAUGGGUGCCGGGGCGGCGGCGGGUUCUCGCUGGCGAUCGAGGGCGUGCUCGGCGGCGCCUGCGGGCUCGUCGUGUCCGACGCGCUCGAGCCCGACUUCCCCAUCAUCUACGUCAACCGCGGCUUCGAGGACGCCACCGGGUACCACGCCGAGGAGGUGCUCGGCAGGAACUGCCGGUUUUUGCAAUGCAGAGGACCAUUUGCUCAGAGGAGACAUCCUCUUGUUGAUGCUAUAGUAGUUACUGAGAUUCAGAGAUGCUUAGAGGAAGGAACUGAGUUCCAGGGUGAUCUGCUGAAUUUUAGGAAAGAUGGUUCCCCAUUUAUGACGAGUUUGCAACUAAAGCCCAUAUAUGGAGAUGAUGAAACAAUAACUCAUUAUAUGGGCAUUCAGUUCUUCAACGAUUGUAAUGUUGAUUUGGGGCCUUUGCCUGGCUCUAUGGCAAAGGAAGUUGUGAGAUCAACAUGGAUUACACCAGAUAAUACUCUCCGGCCAAGUCCAACAGGGAAGGGUAACUUUUGUUCUGAGUAUUCUCAUCUCUUCCAACUGAGUGAUGAGGUACUGUGCCAGAAGAUCCUAUCAAGAUUGUCACCUAGGGAUAUAGCAUCUGUAAACUCUGUAUGUAAGCGUCUGUAUCACAUGACAAAGAAUGAUCACCUUUGGAGAAUGGUUUGUCAGAAUGCAUGGGGCAACGAUGCUACUCGGGCUCUUGAGAAUGUGGCUGGCACAAAAAGUUUGGCAUGGGGACGGCUAGCAAGGGAGUUGACUACACUGGAAGCCGUCACCUGGAAGAAAUUGACGAUCGGGGGUUCAGUGGAGCCAUCUCGCUGUAACUUCAGUGCUUGUGCUGUAGGAAACCGUGUUGUCCUGUUCGGUGGGGAAGGUGUUAACGCACAGCCGAUGAAUGAUACAUUUGUGCUGGAUUUGAGUGCGAGCAAGCCAGAGUGGAGGCACAUCAAUGUGGGGUUGGCUCCUCCUGGCCGCUGGGGCCAUACCCUGUCAUGCCUAAAUGGAUCGCUGUUGGUUCUGUUUGGUGGAUGUGGAGGCCAGGGCCUGCUCAAUGACGUGUUUAUUCUGGAUUUGGAUGCAAAACAUCCUACAUGGCGUGAGAUUUUUGGCCUUACACCACCGGUUCCACGGUCAUGGCAUAGCUCUUGCACACUGGAUGGAUCGAAGCUGGUGGUUUCUGGUGGCUGUGCCGACUCAGGUGUGCUCCUCAGUGAUACUCAUCUUUUGGAUGUAACAAUGGAAAGGCCUGUUUGGAGGGAGAUACCUGCACCUUGGACUCCGCCUUCUAGGUUGGGGCACUCACUCUCUGUCUACGAUGGCAGGAAAAUCCUGAUGUUUGGUGGUCUUGCUAAAAGCGGCCCUUUACGACUCAGGUCUGGCGAUGUAUUCACAAUGGACUUGAGUGAUGCUGCGCCAUCCUGGCGGUGCAUCACCGGUAGUGGAAUGCCAGGAGCCUGUAACCCCGCUGGGGUUGGUCCGCCUCCUCGCCUUGAUCAUGUUGCUGUGAGCCUACCCGGAGGGAGAAUUAUGAUAUUUGGUGGCUCAGUAGCAGGUCUUCACUCUGCUUCACAGCUCUACCUCCUGGAUCCGACCGAAGAGAAACCCACCUGGAGAAUACUGAACGUCCCAGGGCGACCUCCGAGGUUUGCAUGGGGACACAGUACAUGUGUCAUGGAAGGAUCAAAGGCAAUAGUUCUUGGAGGACAAACUGGAGAGGAGUGGACGCUGACUGAAAUACAUGAACUCUCUCUGGCGAGCUCGUUAGUUUGAGACCAGAAAGGCUCGUGGCAGGUUAGUUGUGUAUGCUUGGAAGGCUAGUCUCAAGUAGAUCAAAGCUGGCUACUCCCGCAAUGUCCCGGAGUCGCCCCCCGUGUUGUCUAUGAAGUAGGAAUAUGUUCUCUCUGCUUUUGCUGCUGCUGCUGUCUGUUUGGUCUACUACAAGGUAACUAAUCAUCAUCCAUAACCCUCAAUGUGUGUUGUUCUCGUCAGAUGUUUCCAGCACUCUGAUAGGGAACACAAAAGGGACUGGCGUCGUAUACCUGGAGUCUCCGGCGCAACACUUCUGUGGCUCGGCCCCCUGGCACCGCCGUGGCGACAGUGAUGAUGUUGUAAUUGGUCCUGAAAUUCCGACCGCCCACCGGUUAUGUUGAGCUUUGCUUUUCUGUACCUUGUAUGUUUUCCGCGAGCUGCUUGGUCACUCCUCUCACAUUGUUUGUUUACUAAUACCGCUGACAAAAACUCUUCAGUUUAUACCUUUGUAAGUUGUAACUCUGAUUGUAGCUAAAAAGUUAUCAGGGCUGGUUGUAUGGAAAAACAGGGAGAGUUUUGCUUCCCCGCGACAUUUGUUGUAGAUAUACGUACUUAUGAUGCCAUUUUGAGAUCUGGUUUCU
rnacentral:rRNA from 1 species